AUGGAAGACAGUUGUGGUCUUCUGGAUUUUGCAGUUCUCUGCUUCAUUAGGACCAGGAACUUGUCUGAGCCCAGAGAGAGCCUGAGUGGUGACGUUCAAAGGGAGAAGAUAAGCCUGGACUUCUUGGAAAGGAUGUUAGAGGAAGACAAGAAUCAUAUUGAAUUUAUGGCCCAGGCAAAUUGCAUAUGACCUCAUCUUAACUUGAUGACAUCUACAAAGACUCCAUUUCCAGGAUGGAGGCUUUUUUGGCUCAGCAGAUCACUCUGAUGAGUGUCAUGUCAGGCUGGAGCAUAGUGACACGUCUGGAAGAGACUACACAUAGAGAAGCUCAGAGACUGAUGUGAUCUGAAGCACAAAAAUUCUCAGCAUUAGGAACUGCCAGAUACUGAGGAGAAAUGGACCAGGACUUGGGUGAGAGGAGAAGAAGGUGAGUCAACAUUGCUGGAGAGUUGGGUUAGGAGAAAAGGGUGCAAAGCAAGGCAAAAACCCUAUGAACCCACGUAUCUUUCGGAGCCAACUGUUCACGAAAGACCUCUGCACAUGUCCACUUUCUCUCCUCCAACUCACACUUCAGAGAAUUCCAGUCUAGUCGUCUCCCCAGGGACAUCUCUGAUCCUGUCCUUGUGCAAACCAACUAUUGCAUCCAUACUCCAAAUUCAACAUUUAUUCUCUCAGCCAUUUUAUUUGGCCUCUCA
rnacentral:lncRNA from 1 species